GUGCAAAGAACGCUAACUAGACACCGGUAGGAAAGAAGGGGCAGGACGCCUUUCACUCUUGCACCUACAUAAACCUUUGGCAGUUUAGACCACAAGAUUUCCGAUAAAACGCUGGAUUAGGGUAAAACGUGAUGUAAAAAUCUUUUAAAGUCAUCCGGAAAAUUCAACUUAAGGACGCGACAAAAAAAAACAGUUCAUCCUUCAACGGUGGAGUUUUGAAGGACAAGUGACGGACAGCUUUGACAGAAGACCGAAGUUCGCCUUUGAACCUUAAAUAUGUUUUUACGUUAAUAUCGCUUUCAAAUAACCCUUUUAAAGGAAUGGAAACUGUAGUAUCAUCCCGUUAUGUACACUAAAGCAAAGCUGCUCCGCUGUCCCAACUGUUGUCGGUGAAGAAGUAAUCAUGGCUUCUACACUGCGUGAGCCAAAGGGAGCAGCGGCCCAAACCGAUGCAGUCAUGGGAUACCUCACGAGUCA